rnacentral:rRNA from 1 species
GGAAUAUUGGACAAUGGGGGCAACCCUGAUCCAGCAAUGCCGCGUGUGUGAAGAAGGCCUGCGGGUUGUAAAGCACUUUCAGUAGAGAAGAGAAGCUACAGGUUAAUACCCUUGAGUCUUGACGUAACCUACAGAAGAGGCACCGGCUAACCCCGUGCCAGCAGCCGCGGUAAUACGGAGGGUGCAAGCGUUAAUCGGAAUUACUGGGCGUAAAGCGCGCGUAGGCGGUUUUGCAAGUCGGAUGUGAAAGCCCAGGGCUUAACCCUGGAAUUGCAUUCGAUACUGCAUAACUAGAGUAUGGUAGAGGGAAGUGGAAUUUCCGGUGUAGCGGUGAAAUGCGUAGAUAUCGGAAGGAACACCAGUGGCGAAGGCGACUUCCUGGGCCAAUACUGACGCUGAGGUGCGAAAGCGUGGGGAGCAAAC